AAUGCAGUCGAGCGGACCGACGGGAGCUUGCUCCCUUAGGUCAGCGGCGGACGGGUGAGUAACACGUGGGUAACCUGCCUGUAAGACUGGGAUAACUCCGGGAAACCGGGGCUAAUACCGGAUGCUUGAUUGAACCGCAUGGUUCAAUCAUAAAAGGUGGCUUUUAGCUACCACUUACAGAUGGACCCGCGGCGCAUUAGCUAGUUGGUGAGGUAACGGCUCACCAAGGCGACGAUGCGUAGCCGACCUGAGAGGGUGAUCGGCCACACUGGGACUGAGACACGGCCCAGACUCCUACGGGAGGCAGCAGUAGGGAAUCUUCCGCAAUGGACGAAAGUCUGACGGAGCAACGCCGCGUGAGUGAUGAAGGUUUUCGGAUCGUAAAACUCUGUUGUUAGGGAAGAACAAGUACCGUUCGAAUAGGGCGGCACCUUGACGGUACCUAACCAGAAAGCCACGGCUAACUACGUGCCAGCAGCCGCGGUAAUACGUAGGUGGCAAGCGUUGUCCGGAAUUAUUGGGCGUAAAGCGCGCGCAGGCGGUUUCUUAAGUCUGAUGUGAAAGCCCCCGGCUCAACCGGGGAGGGUCAUUGGAAACUGGGGAACUUGAGUGCAGAAGAGGAGAGUGGAAUUCCACGUGUAGCGGUGAAAUGCGUAGAGAUGUGGAGGAACACC
rnacentral:rRNA from 1 species